rnacentral:rRNA from 1 species
ACUCAAAUGAAUUGACGGGGACCCGCACAAGCGGUGGAGCAUGUUGUUUAAUUCGAAGCAACGCGAAGAACCUUACCUACCCUUGACAUACCGGUUGGGAGGACCAGAGAUGGACCUCUUCAUUUAGUUGGACCGGAUACAGGUGCUGCAUGGCUGUCGUCAGCUCGUGUCGUGAGAUGUUGGGUUAAGUCCCGCAACGAGCGCAACCCUUGUCGUAUGUUGCCAUCAUUAAGUUGGGCACUCGUGCGAGACCGCCGGUGACAAGCCGGAGGAAGGUGGGGACGACGUCAAGUCAUCAUGGCCCUUACGGGUAGGGCUACAAACGUGCUACAAUGGCGGUGACAGUGGGCAGCGAGGCAGCGAUGCCAAGCUAAUCCUCAAAAGCCGUCUCAGUUCGGAUUGUACUCUGCAACUCGAGUGCAUGAAGCUGGAAUCGCUAGUAAUCGAAGAUCAGAACGCUUCGGUGAAUACGUUCCCGGGUCUUGUACACACCGCCCGU